rnacentral:rRNA from 1 species
UACGUAGGGUGCAAGCGUUUAUCCGGAAUUAUUGGGCGUAAAGAGCUCGUAGGCGGUUUGUCGCGUCUGCUGUGAAAACUGGAGGCUCAACCUCCAGCCUGCAGUGGGUACGGGCAGACUAGAGUGCGGUAGGGGAGAUUGGAAUUCCUGGUGUAGCGGUGAAAUGCGCAGAUAUCGGGAGGAACACCCGUAGCGAAGGCGGCACUCUGGGCCGGAACUGACGCUGAGGAGCGAAAGCGUGGGGAGCAAACAGG